UGGGGAAUAUUGCACAAUGGGGAAACCGUAGCAUGCAGCCAUGCCGCGUGUAUGAAGAAGGCCUUAGGGUUGUAAAGUACUUUCGGUGAUGAGGAAGGUACUUGGUCUAAUAGGCCAAGUAAUUGACGUUAAUUACAGAAGAAGCACCGGCUAACUCCGUGCCAGCAGCCGCGGUAAUACGGAGGGUGCGAGCGUUAAUCGGAAUGACUGGGCGUAAAGGGCAUGUAGGCGGAUGAUUAAGUUAGGUGUGAAAAUCCCCGACGCGUCAAACUUUGGGGAAUUGCAUUUAAAACUGGUCGUCUAGAGUAUUGUAGAGGAAGGUAGAAUUCCACGUGUAGCGGUGAAAUGCGUUAGAGAUGUGGAGGAAUACCGGUGGCGAAGGCGGCCUUCUGGACAGAUACUGACGCUGAGAUGCGAAAGCGUGGGGAGCAAACA
rnacentral:rRNA from 1 species